GGCUGCUCUGAAGGUAAUGCGUUAUCUCACUUGAUUGCUCAUAGUCAGUUACAGAUUGAACUCCUCGUUCUACUACUUUCCCCUCUUCUCACUACUGCACUUGACUAGUCUAAA
rnacentral:Y_RNA from 1 species